CAGUAGCCGCGGUAAUACGUAGGUGGCAAGCGUUGUCCGGAAUUAUCGGGCGUAAAGGGCUCGCAGGCGGUUUCUUAAGUCUGAUGUGAAAGCCCCCGGCUCAACCGGGGAGGGUCAUUGGAAACUGGGAAACUUGAGUGCAGAAGAGGAGAGUGGAAUUCCACGUGUAGCGGUGAAAUGCGUAGAGAUGUGGAGGAACACCAGUGGCGAAGGCGACUCUCUGGUCUGUAACUGACGCUGAGGCACGAAAGCGUGGGGAGCAAACAGGAUUAGAUACCCCCGUAGUCCCUGUCUCUUAUAC
rnacentral:rRNA from 1 species